AUGAAGACUCUUGUUAGGAGCCAUAACGGGAAAAUCUACUUGUCUGAACUCAGCACUUUUUCACGUCUACUUUUGGACCCAAAGGUGUUGGUCACUGCUUCUGUGUGCGCACGGCCUUCGCCAUCAAACAAUGAUACAGCAACACAGCAUAACUCCCAGGAGCAGCGUUAUCACAAAUUGCCAUCUGCCACAAGAUGUGAACCAAAGCCUGCAAGGUUGAUGAUCUGCAUAGGUAAGCCACCUGGCCUAACCUGCCUGAGGACCAGCACCGUCUCACAUCGUAGUCAUUCUGUUGCUGUGUUUCUAUUGUUUCCGUUUUUCUCUCUGUAUUCUCUUCAUUCUGGGCUGGCAUCUAUUUUAACUCAGGCUGAAUAUCAUCCAUUGGUGGUUCUCUGUGUGGCUUACAUGAUGUGAAGACAUUUUAAAUAUAGCUGCACACAUUUCCUCCUGUA
rnacentral:lncRNA from 1 species